rnacentral:rRNA from 1 species
UACGUAGGGGGCAAGCGUUGUUCGGAUUUACUGGGCGUAAAGGGCGCGUAGGCGGCGCGUAAAGUCGGACAUGAAAUCAUUAGGCUUAACCUGAUGGCUGUGUCCGAUACUUACGUGCUUGGAGUGCGGGAGAGACAAUCGGAAUUCUCGGUGUAGCGGUGAAAUGCGUAGAUAUCGAGAGGAACUCCGGUGACGAAGGUGGGUUGCGGGACCGACACUGACUCUGAGGCGCGAAAGCUAGGGGAGCAAACGGG